UAAUACGGAGGGUGCAAGCGUUGUUCGGAAUCACUGGGCGUAAAGCGCGUGUAGGCGGCCUCCUCAGUCUGGUGUGAAAGCCCGGGGCUCACCCCCGGAAGUGCAUUGGAUACUGGGAGGCUGGAGUACCGGAGAGGAGGGUGGAAUUCCUGGUGUAGCGGUGAAAUGCGUAGAUAUCAGGAGGAACACCGGUGGCGAAGGCGGCCCUCUGGACGGAUACUGACGCUGAGACGCGAAAGCGUGGGGAGCAAACAGG
rnacentral:rRNA from 1 species